AUUGAACGCUGGCGGCAUGCCUUACACAUGCAAGUCGAACGGUAACGGGCCUUCGGGUGCCGACGAGUGGCGAACGGGUGAGUAAUGUAUCGGAACGUACCUUUCAGUGGGGGAUAACGUAGCGAAAGUUACGCUAAUACCGCAUAUUCUGUGAGCAGGAAAGCAGGGGAUCGCAAGACCUUGCGCUGAUUGAGCGGCCGAUAUCAGAUUAGCUAGUUGGUGAGGUAAAAGCUCACCAAGGCGACGAUCUGUAGCGGGUCUGAGAGGAUGAUCCGCCAAACUGGAACUGAGACACGGUCCAGACUCCUACGGGAGGCAGCAGUGGGGAAUUUUGGACAAUGGGGGCAACCCUGAUCCAGCCAUGCCGCGUGAGUGAAGAAGGCCUUCGGGUUGUAAAGCUCUUUCGGCCGGGAAGAAAUCGUAUCAGCUAAUACCUGGUGCGGAUGACGGUACCGGCAUAAGAAGCACCGGCUAACUACGUGCCAGCAGCAGCCGCCGUAA
rnacentral:rRNA from 1 species